GAUGAACGCUGGCGGCGUGCCUAAUACAUGCAAGUCGAGCGAACGGACGAGAAGCUUGCUUUUCUGAUGUUAGCGGCGGACGGGUGAGUAACACGUGGAUAACCUACCUAUAAGACUGGGAUAACUUCGGGAAACCGGAGCUAAUACCGGAUAAUAUUUUGCACCGCAUGGUUCAAAAGUGAAAGACGGUCUUGCUGUCACUUAUAGAUGGAUCUGCGCUGCAUUAGCUGGUUGGUACGUUAACGGCUUACCAAGGCAACGAUGCGUAGCCGACGUAAGGGGGUGAUAGCCCACACGAGAACUGAGACAGGGUCCUGACUACUAAGGUAGGCAGCAGUAGGGAACCUGCCGCAAUGGUCGAAAGCCUGACGGAGCAACGCCGCGUGUGAGAUGAAGGCGUUGCGAGCGUAAAACUCUCUUAUUAGUGAAGAACAGAUGUGUAAGUAACUGUGCACAUCGUGACGGUACCGAAUCAGAAAGCCACGGCUAACUACGUG
rnacentral:rRNA from 1 species